AGUAACGCGUGAGGAACCUGCCUUUCAGAGGGGGACAACAGUUGGAAACGACUGCUAAUACCGCAUGAUACAUUUGGGUGGCAUCAUCUGAAUGUCAAAGAUUUAUCGCUGAAAGAUGGCCUCGCGUCUGAUUAGCUGGUUGGUAAGGUAACGGCUUACCAAGGCGACGAUCAGUAGCCGACCUGAGAGGGUGACCGGCCACAUUGGGACUGAGACACGGCCCAA
rnacentral:rRNA from 1 species